UUAGGCACCCCUUUUCAAAGUGCCUGAAAAAAUACGUACGCAUUUUACAACUUGCUAAGGAAGCUGUUACUUUCACACCUCUUAACCGGUAAAGAAAAGUCCCGAUCCUCUUCUUCCCCUGCCCUGUUUCUCUCUCGCUCCGAGCUCUCUCCCGUCACCCCGCCGCCUGCGUCGCCGCUCGGUGAUGGCCCUCGCCGGCCACCCGGUCUCCCCGCUCACCGGCGCAGAUCCGGCUGUUCCUCCUGGUCGAUUACACCCCCCGUGCACCUCGUCCUCACCUUCCCUCGCCCCUGCCCUAUUCGCUCCCCCGCUCGAGCCCUAACCUGCGCGCGCCUCUCCAAUGGCGCUUCCCGCUUGAAUAAGGCGGUCACCGCGGCUGCUGGAGGAGCACGUUCACAAGGCCUCCGCCGCGGCCGCGUGUCGCCCUCCAUGUCCAGGGGAUCGGCGGUUGCUCGAGACGACCACCACCGCCUCGUUGUGCACUCCUCCACGUCCAGGGGAUUGGCGGUUGCUCGAGGCGACAACAACUGCCUCGUCGUGCCCUCCUCCGUUCCCAAGGUCGUCUGCUCCGAAGAUAUGAAUAUCUCAUGGAUCAAGUAAAAUGCUGCUACUUGGUGCAAAGAAAUGUCUGAUACCUUUUCCUCCUUUAUUUACAACUAGGAAAAAUGUCCGUGCUUGCACCGGAAGAGGCAAAAUGAUACGUCGCAAAGUACUAUUUUUGUGAUAUAUUUUCUAGAUACUGAAGAAUUCCAGUUCUGGAUAAAGCGAAUUAUUCGUCUAAUUUCACUUAUAAUUUCUAGGACAAAAAAAUCAUAGAAAUUGCUUAGACUUCGAUAA